AAGCAGGAACAUCGUCCUCUGAUGCUGAAUGUGAGAAGUGACUUCGGUUGGUCUUAUAGUUGUAGUCACAAUUACACUUCUUGUAGCUGUUGUGGCUGUGGCUGCUGUUAAAUUAGCAUGCAUCAGAAAACAUAAAGCAAGGCGCUCUAAGAAACCAGGUUUCUGUCGCACCCCACAACAAGCAACUGAGGAUGAUGAAUCGAAAUGGCAGUCCUCAGCUGGACCUACUUUGA